CACUUUUUCUACAAUCUUACCAUCAAGUUUUUUUUAAACUUUGCUCUCAUGAAAAAUUCUUUCCUUCUACUCUUGAAUGUGCAUAACUUCAAGUUUAAAUAUCAUCUGUUUGGUUUGUUCUCUAUUUUGCGGUAGCUCCUAGUUUUACACUCUACCUGGCCUAACUAACCACCUGUGUUCUGACUGAUUCUGUUUCAGACCUUUCUGCUGAGGGCCUCUGCAACGAUUAGCAGAACAUGAAUGUAUGGAAGUGGAAGAGGCCUGAGAGUUCAUUUCAGAGCAUGAUAAAAACACUUGAUAGAGACAGAGGCUCCUCUGAUACCCUACUGUCUCGGAGUGUCUGCACACAAAUCCCCAGCCUGUUUUAAAAUGCUCACCAAAGAACAGGCUUCCUGGAAAUUUAAGACCCUCCAAGGGUCCUAAACCCACCUCCCUCAUGCCCUGACCGUGGCCCUGUUCUCUUAAAGCCAGCAGGGGGCAGGUUUGGUUUGUUCAGAGAAAGCUGCACAGCACUGGCUGACAACUGCUGUCCAGCGCGCUCCACGCCUGACUGUGAGGGGGAAUCGCUUGGGAGCACCCGUCACAUGCCCAGAGAUUGCCUUCCGAGGCUUUCUGGAGUACCGUGUGCCGUGUGCCGCAGGGAGGCUCAGGGCUCCUCCUUUAUUCUAGCCUGUUUCCAGCAACCCCCAGGGCAACGUCCUGACUCUUCUGUGUGCGUCUGCAGAGCUCUCCUCCUGCGGCUUCCUGCAUCUGCAAGCUUGUUCUGAAGGCCGAGAGGUCUAAGUGCGUCACCGUGUGCAUGGUCCUUUAACCCUUCGUGUCCUGCGCCGGGAUUGAAGCCUGAGAAGGAAGGCAAAUCAAACGGUAGGACAACAAGCCGCUUCAGUGUGGUGGUUAUAAACCACAGCUCCCUCUCCGUGCCCGCCAUCUGUUAAAAAUUGAUCUGCUGCUUUAAAGCUGAAGUAAUCCAGCGUGCCUGAAAGGAACUUUGCCACAAGAAAAAGGCUUCUGAAGUUGAAGUCGUUUCUCUUGUCUGGCCCACACAUCCCCCGUGCUAAGGGUAAAAGCACUCAGACUCAGCUCGUGACAGUGAAUUUGGUGAGGAUUUCUUUUUAUGUACAUGUUGUCAGUACAUGCAGUUUACAGUCAUCUUGGGGAGUGGUACAUGUGCAUAAUACAGCUUUUUAAAAAUUUCUCUUCCUUCUCACCUCUCUCCCUCCUCCUCCAAGUCCCCUUUCCCUGUGUUCGUUAGUGUUGAUGUUACUAAUCUUAGCUUAUGUUCAUGAUGUACAGUGUCCACACUCAUUGAGGUUAUUAGGUUCCUGUUCAUGGCAUCUCCGUCCUACUUAUUUCCCUUCCCUUCCUGUUCUCCUCUCAUCUCUGUUCUCAUGGACCCCUUUCCAUUCGCAAGAGAUCUGUUAUUGUGCUCUUUGUAUGUUGCCUUCCUCAAAUGAAAUACAGUAUUUAAACUUC